UUUAGUUUCAAUCGCUUCUCAAUCCUGAUAAAAUUAAAACGAUACAAAGAAGAUUAACAAGAUUCAUGCGUAAAGAUGACACACAAAAUUAAUUUAGUAAAGUACGCCUAU
rfam:Prunus persica cultivar Lovell chromosome G2, whole genome shotgun sequence.